UACGUAGGGUGCAAGCGUUGUCCGGAAUUAUUGGGCGUAAAGAGCUCGUAGGCGGUCUGUCGCGUCGGCUGUGAAAACCCGGAGCUCAACUCCGGGCCUGCAGUCGAUACGGGCAGGCUAGAGUUCGGCAGGGGAGACUGGAAUUCCUGGUGUAGCGGUGAAAUGCGCAGAUAUCGGGAGGAACACCGGUGGCGAAGGCGGUUCUCUGGGCCUUACCUGACGCUGAGGAGCGAAAGCGUGGGGAGCGAACAGG
rnacentral:rRNA from 1 species